UACGUAGGGGGCAAGCGUUGUCCGGAAUCAUUGGGCGUAAAGAGCGUGUAGGCGGCUUUACAGGUCCGUUGUGAAAACUCGAGGCUCGACCUCGAGACGUCGGCGGAAACCAUCUGGCUAGAGUCCGGAAGAGGAGAGUGGAAUUCCUGGUGUAGCGGUGAAAUGCGCAGAUAUCAGGAAGAACACCCGUGGCGAAGGCGGCUCUCUGGGACGGUACUGACGCUGAGACGCGAAAGCGUGGGGAGCGAACAGG
rnacentral:rRNA from 1 species